CCCUUAGAUGUCCUGGGCCGCACGCGUGCUACACUGACGCCUACAGCGAGUACUUCCCAGCCCCGAGAGGCGGCUGGUAAUCAGCAAUAGGCGUCGUGAUGGGGAUAGAUCUUUGGAAUUAUGGAUCUUGAACGAGGAAUGCCUAGUAAGCGCAGGUCAUUAGCCUGCGCUGAUUACGUCCCUGCCCUUUGUACACACCGCCCGUCGCACCUACCGAUUGGAUGGUCCGGUGAAGCCUCGGGAUUGUGGUUCUUGCCGCUUUAUUGUGGCGUGACCGCGAGAACUUGUCUAAACCUUAUCAUCUAGAGGAAGGUGAAGUCGUAACA
rnacentral:rRNA from 1 species